rnacentral:rRNA from 2 species
UACAGGUCUUGACAUCCCGAUGCUAUUCCUAGAGAUAGGAAGUUUCUUCGGACAGGUGGUGAACAUCGGUGCAUGGUUGUCGUCAGCUCGUGUCGUGAGAUGCUGGGUUAAGAGCGCUGCCGUCCCGCAACCCUAUUGUUAGUUGCCAUCAUUAAGUUGGGCACUCUAGCGAGACUGCCGGGAGGAAGGUGUAAUAAACCGGGGAUGACGUCAAAUCAUCAUGCCCCUUAUGACCUGGGCUACACACGUGCUACAAUGGUUGGUACAACGAGUCGCGAGUCGGUGACGGCAAGCAAAUCUCUUAAAGCCAAUCUCAGUUCGGAUUGUAGGCUGCAACUCGCCUACAUGAAGUAGUAAUCGCUCGGAAUCGCAGAUCAGAAUGCUGCGGUGAAUACGUUCCC